AUUGAACGCUGGCGGAAUGCUUUACACAUGCAAGUCGAACGGUAGAGGGGGCAACCCCUUGAGAGUGGCGAACGGGUGAGUAAUAUAUCGGAACGUGCCCAGUCGUGGGGAUAACGUAGCGAAAGUUACGCUAAUACCGCAUACGAUCUACGGAUGAAAGCGGGGGACUCGCAAGAGCCUCGCGCGAUUGGAGCGGCCGAUAUCAGAUUAGGUAGUUGGUGGGGUAAAGGCUCACCAAGCCGACGAUCUGUAGCUGGUCUGAGAGGACGACCAGCCACACUGGGACUGAGACACGGUCCAGACUCCUACGGAGGCAGCAGUGGGGAAUAUUGGACAAUGGCGAAAGACCUGAUCCAGCCAUG
rnacentral:rRNA from 1 species